rnacentral:rRNA from 1 species
AACGAACGCUGGCGGCAGGCUUAACACAUGCAAGUCGAACGCACCUUUCGGGGUGAGUGGCAGACGGGUGAGUAACGCGUGGGAAUCUACCCUUCUCUACGGGAUAGCUCCGGGAAACUGGAAUUAAUACCGUAUACGUCCUGAGGGAGAAAGAUUUAUCGGGGAAGGAUGAGCCCGCGUUGGAUUAGCUAGUUGGUGGGGUAAAGGCCUACCAAGGCGACGAUCCAUAGCUGGCCUAAGAGGAUGAUCAGCCACAUUGGGACUGAGACACGGCCCAAACUCCUACGGGAGGCAGCAGUGGGGAAUAUUGGACAAUGGGCGCAAGCCUGAUCCAGCCAUGCCGCGUGAGUGAUGAAGGCCCUAGGGUUGUAAAGCUCUUUCAGUGGGGACGAUAAUGACGGUACCCACAGAAGAAGCCCCGGCUAACUUCGUG